AGUGAACGCUGGCGGCGUGCUUAACACAUGCAAGUCGAACGAGAACGGGAUUAGCUUGCUAAUCUGUCAGCUAAGUGGCGCACGGGUGAGUAAUAUAUAGAUAACGUGCCUUGGAGAAGGGGAUAAUUGAUGGAAACGUCUUGUAAGACCCUAUAUGCCUUUAUUACAUAAGUAAGCAAGGGAAAUAUUUAUAGCUCCAAGAUCGGUCUGUACAGUAUCAGUUAGUUGGUGAGGUAAUGGCUCACCAAGACAAUGACGCUUAACUGGUUUGAGAGGAUGAUCAGUCACACUGGAACUGAGACACGGUCCAGACUCCUACGGGAGGCAGCAGUGGGGAAUAUUGCACAAUGGGGGAAACCCUGAUGCAGCAACGCCGCGUGGAGGAUGACACAUUUCGGUGCGUAAACUCCUUUUAUAUAUGAAGAUAAUGACGGUAAUAUAUGAAUAAGCACCGGCUAACUCCG
rnacentral:rRNA from 1 species